rnacentral:lncRNA from 1 species
UUCAAGUAAGAAUAUUUUUUGGAAACUAAAAAGAGUGUACAAAGUAAAACUUAAUCUUUUAAAAUUAGUAUAUGAGUGUACAAGGUAAUAGAGUGUUUAAAAUAAUGUUUAGAGUGCUAAUAGUCCCACCUUUUUUUAAUGGACCAAUGGUAAUCAACCUAAUUCCUAUAGUAGCAGGAGGAUGAUUAAAUGCAUGUUUGGUAUUGCAUAUCUAAUGACCAUAACAAUUUAUUUAAUCUCAAAAGCUUUUUUUUUUAAUUUUUUUGUUGCUGCUGCUUAUAUUUUAAGUAGAUUUUUUGGGGAUUAAAUAGGUUAUUUGACCUCUGUUGGGAUUAUGUGCUCUUUUAAAGCAUAUUAAUUUAUUUUCUAAUUAAUAUAAUAUUUGAUAUAUUUUCAAUUGGAUAAAUAUAUUGAAAAAUGUCUGUUUAAUCAUAUUAUAUGUAUUUAUGUGAUCAUCAUAUGGAUUCACAGAAGACAUAAAUACAAGUUAUCUUAUGAUUAAAUAAAUUAAGUUCGCAGUUGAGAAAUAGAGUUGGAUGCUCUAUUUAUAUUUAGACUGUAGUAAAUUCAUUGAAUGAUUUGUCUUAAUCAUGUAUGAAUUUACUGAUGUAGUUUGACUAAAUUGAGCUGGAUCACAUAUGAGAUUUAAUUAAUCUUAAAAUGACUGUCAGACUUAUUAAAUCUCAUAGGCAUUGAUUUUACUGUAAUCUUAAUCUUGAGUUAGUUAUAAUUUCAUGAUUGUAAUUGUUAUUCCAUUUGAGUUACCAAUGGGCACGACACACACUUGUAGUCAAGAUUACCCGGUAUCUUGGUGGGAGCAAUUAUGAAUAUUGGAGUUAUAGAUUAACAAUAUAGAAUUUGUACAACACAUCUCUUGAUGGGUUUUCGGCCCUUGAUCAUAGAAUUCUCUGGCCAGAGUGUGUCAACAUAUUUAUUAUGUUGAAAAUGAUCAUUAAAGAAAACCAGUAAGUAUCAAGGAAUAAGAUGUAAUUAAAUCGAUUGGACAGUUGAGAUAUCGAUUUAAUUGACGAUGUGAUACAAAGGAUUAUGCAGUAAAAUGUUAUGCCAAGAACCAGUAAAGUAUUGUUAAUGGCUCACCAAGAUCCACUCUAUUAAGGUUCUUGAAUCUAAAAUGAUAGAUUACCAACCUACAAUCUAAAGCAAUGUUUAACGACCUAAACAACCAAGUCAAAUCAAAGAAUGAAUCUAAGAACAGAAAGACAACACAGAGAAAGCUUAUAGUGGUUCGGCCAUGGAAGCCUACAUCCACUGUGGAAAAAGAACCCAAGCUUUACUUGAAUGAGAGUUUACAGAGCACAAGUUUUCCAGAGAAGAUUACACAAACACCACAUAUCAGUAUUCCAAGAUACCAGGCUAUAUAUACAAGCAAUGCUCAAUCUAGAAGGAUCUCUCAGUCAUCAACAUACUUCCCUUGUGUUCAGUAACAAAGUCUAGUAGCUUCUUGCGCUGGUUAACAACCUUAACAGAACACUGAUCAGCUCCCUGACCACGUGUCUUAAUCUUGUUUGCUCUAAGUGAUGAAACAGCAGCCCAAACUGUCGUUCCGUUUAAGUGAAUCACAUGCGAAGUCACAUGCUUGUCUUGCAAUCACAAAUGACACAAUAUCCUUGUCAUACAGCCUUCUCAGGACUCCAAUCGACAUGUCAUAGUAUUGACGAGUCUUUAACCGACUUGUCGUAAACUAAUUUGCAGUUCAUACUUCAACAUUCUCCACCUUGAACUCAAAAUCAUUCACUCCUUGGGUUCACCCUUCCACUCCUUAUCUGCAGACUAUAUCCUGCAAAUACCAGCUGAGUUCAAGCAGAACUCAAACUUAGCUCCUAGUACAGCAUUGGUAAGCAUGUCAGCAAUGUUGUUGUCAAUGUGUAUUUUAACCAAUUUAACCACACCUUUUGAUACUUCUAAUCUGACAAAGUGAAGCUUCAUAUCAAUAUGCUUGGCCUUCUCAUGGUGUAUUUGAUUCUUACUCAGACAUAUAACACUUUGGCUAUCACAGUGAACUGUAAUUUGCUUUUGUUCAAAUCCCAGCUCUGUCACCAUCCCUCUAAGCCAUAUAGCUUCUUUUAUUGCCUUUCCAGCUGCUGUAUAUUCUGCCUCAGUUGUAGACAGAGCAACAACACUUUUGCAGUGAAGCUUUCCAAUUUAUAGUGCAGCCAUUUAGCAUAAACAAAAAACCUAUUAAAGUCCUUCUUUUAUCUAGAUCUCCAGCAUAAUCUGCAUCCAUAUAGCCUUCCACUCAAACCUCUGCAUGUUUCUCAGCCCCAUAGAUUAAACCAUAAUCAGCUGUACCAGCAAGGUAUCUUAAGAUCCAUACAACAGCCUUCCAAUGUUCUUUUCCUGGGUUUGCCAUAUACCUGCUUACUACACUCACUGCAUGAGAGAGAUCAGGCCUAGUCAGGACCAUUGCAUACAUUAGACAUCCAACAACACUUGAAUAUGGAAACUUAGUCAUUUCAUCCUUUUCUGAAUCAAAGUUUGGACACUGCUGACAGGAUAGUUUGAAAUGAGCUGGUAAUGGUGUCUGCACUGGUUUACAUCUAUCCAUAUGGAAUUUCUCAAGUACUUUCCUGAUGUAUUUGUUCUGUGUUAGGCUUAGGAUACCAUUCUUUCUGUCUCUUAUCAGCUUAACACCAAGGAUCUUCUUUGCAGCACCCAGAUCUUUCAUCUCGAAUGUAUUGCUCAGCUGCUGUUUCAAAUCAUUGAUGUACUUCAUCUUCUUACAAGCUAUUAACAUGUCGUCUACAUAGAGCAGUAAAUAAAUCUUGUCACCACCUUCUAUGGUUUUGAAGUAAACACAAUAGUCAAAACUACUCCUUUGAAACCCAUGUUCUGACAUAAACUUGUCAAAUCUCAGGUACCGUAGUCUUGGAGACCGUUUUAGUCCAUAUAGUGACUUUCUUAGGUGACAUACAUGAUCAGCCUUUUCUUGAUCCUCAUGACCUUCAGGUUGAGUCAUCACUAUCAUCUCAUCUAUUUCACCAUGCAGGAAAGCAGUCUUCACAUCCAUCUACUCUAGAUGCAUGUCUUUUACAGCAACUAGAGAUAACAAGAUCCUCAAGGAAGCAUGUCUCACCACUAGAGAAAAAACUUAUGUAAAGUCAACCCCCUCCUUCUGAGUGAAGCCUUUUGCAACCAACCUGGCUUUGUAUCUUUGUGGUUCAACACCUGGUAUACCCUCCUUAAUCCUAUAAAUCCAUUUGCAUCCAACUACCCUUUUGUUUACUAGUCUUUCAAUGAGAUUCCAAGUGUGAUUUUUUCUCAAGGACAUCAUUUCCUCAUCCAUAGCCUUGAUCCAUCCAUCUGCCUUAUUACUGUUAAUAACUUCUGAGUAUGUUCUAGGUUCAUCUGCUGCAAUUUCAUGUGCUACUGUUAAUGCAAAUGCAAUUAAAUCUGCAUAUGCAUAUCUUCUAGGAGGUCUUAUAACUCUCUUUUCUCUAUCCCUUGUUAACUGAUAAUCAUCACUUCUCUCCUGAUCACUUGUUGUUUCAGUCUUAGUGUCAUGUAUUUCCAUGCCUGUUACUUUUCUAGCUUCUGAUCUUGUUCUCUAUAUCUAGUUUGAGUUUGAUAGCUCCACCUCAAAAUAAGACUUCUCAUCUUUAUCUUCCAGUUCUGCAUUAGUAGUCUUUAAUGAUACUGAUUGUUGAAGCAUCUCAAAAUACUACAUCCCUGCUGAUGAUUGCUUUUGGAGGCUUCAAUUCUAUGCACCAUAGUUUAUACCUUUUUACACCUUCAGGGUAACCAAGAAACACACACCUCAAUGCCCUGGGCUCUAAUUUACCUUAUUUGAUGUGAGCAUAUGCUGGACAACCAAAGAUCUUCAGGCUGGAAUAAUCUGCUAGUUUACCAUACUAUAGUUCAUAUGGUGUUUUGAAGUUAAUUCCAGUUGAAGGGCUUCUGUUCACAAUAUAACAAGUUGUUGAUAGAGCCUCAGCCCAUAAGGACAUGGGUAGCUUAGAGUGAAUAAGCAUGCACCUUACUUUGUCAACUAAGGUUCUGUUCAUCCUCUCAGCUAGUCCAUUUUGCUGAGGUGUAUAUCUUAUUGUUCUUUGCCUCAUGACUCCAUGCUUACUGCAAAAAUCUUCAAACCUCUUGUUAUAGAAUUCUAAACCAUUAUCAGUUCUAAGUUUCUUAACCUUCAUGCUGGUCUGAGUUUCAAUUAGCGUCUUCUAGGUUUAACCUUCAUGCUGGUCUGAGUUUCAAUUAGCGUCUUCUAGGUUUAACCUUCAUGCUGGUCUGAGUUUCAAUUAGCGUCUUCUAGGUUUUGAAUUGUUCAAACACCUCAUCUUUGUUUUUCAACACAGACACCCACACCAUUCUAGAAUAGUCAUCAAUUAGAGAUAGAAAGUACCUAGCCUCUCCUAAGGAUGCUGUCUGUGCGGGUCCCCACAGAUAAGCAUGAACAUAAUCUAGUGUUCCUCUUGAAACAUGUGCGCCAGUACUGAAUUUAACUCUUGAGGACUUGCCUAGGACACAUUCCUCACAAAAUUCUAGGGACUCUAGUUUGUCUUUACCCAGGACUCCCUAUUUUGAUAGUUCUCUUAAACCUCUCUCACUCAUAUGGCCUAAUCUAAAGUGCCACAACAAGGUUUUGUUUAGAUUCUGGUUUGAGACUCCAACAUCUCCUGUGAUCACAGACCCUUGAAGAACAUACAGGCCAUUAUCUAAGUUUCCUUUAAUCAAUACCAUUGAUAAGCAUAAUUUAUAUACAUAUUUUAUCCUUUAUUAUAUAAUUGCUAGUUAUUUUUAUUUGUUAUUUUUAAUUAAUUACAUUAUUUUAUUGAAUAGGAAAUUGGUUUGAGAUUAUGGGUAAAAAGGGCAUAAAAGAGCUCAAUUUUGGAAGCAUUAAAGAUUAAUUGAUGUUUGGAAGGAAUUAGACAUACAUGCAUGUGGAAAUCAAGCCAAGGAACCAAAUUCAACAAGUUAAUUCAUCAUGCACAUGUAGACAAAAGAGAGAAAUUGAUUUUAGCUUUAAGAAAUGACCCGUACUUGGCUUUCAUAAAUGGAAAAAAGGAAACCUAUUGCAAUUCAAAGUGCCCAACACGUGAGUGAAGCAAAACAAAUAAAAGGGCAAAACUUUUUGGCUUUAGAAUUGAUAAGAUGGGGCCCAUUUUAAAGGCUAUAUAAGAAAACUAAGCUUUUGGCUUUUGGAGGAGGGAGCAGCCAUUAGGGGACGAAAACAAAAGGGAGGACGCGAGACAGAGAGAAUAAAGCAGCGGAAGCAGCUCUUAAAUUUUCCCAUGGCUGAUUUUAUUUCUUUUGUUGCUCCUAAUUCAAGUAUGUCUACCUAAUUUUCUUAUACUGAGGUUAAGGAUGAAGCCCUAUUUAAUGAAAUAAUUAUCUUUUUAUUUAAUUAAUUCCCUACAUGUGUGCUUUAAUGAUUAUGAUUUUUGUUUCAGAUGAUUAGUUGGAUGUUAUUAAAUCUUUUCACCAAUUCUAUCAUGCAUUAUUUAUUGUUAUGAUUAAUAUUUGACUAAAUCUAUGCUUGGAUCUAUAAAGUUUAUACAUGAUUAUCUUUGAUUUUAUGUCUUUCAUUAAAUUGUUUACAUAGAGUGCUUAGGAAAACUUUGACUCUUUGUUAUUCAAUAUGUUUACAUGAGAUUCUUAGAUAUCAUACUAUUAAGUAGAAAAAGAACCUAUAUUAGAUUUAAUUACUUGGGCUUAGUUGUUAUAUUCAUGAGAUGAUAUAGAUUGAUUUCGAGUGGUCACACUAAAAUUAGGGAUUAAUUAAUAUUUAGAUAAUUACUAGUGUAAUAGUGGUGGAUUCUGAAACAUUGGUAACUUUUGUCCUAUUGAAUUCUCCUUUGCUUUAAUUAUUUUCUAAGUUUAAUUGGUUUAAUUUUAUUAGAAACUCAAUUUGCUCAACUAGGUUAGAAUUACUAUUAAUUUUAAAUUUAAAUUAGACUUUUCAGCAAUCCCUGUGGGUUCGACCUCGUUACCACUAUUUUAUUUCUAGAUUCGUGCGCUUGUGAGUAUAUUAAAAUUUUCACAACAAAUUUUUGGCGCCGUUGCCGGGGAUUGUGUCAAAAAGUCAGUGUAAUCUAGGUUGAUUUAAUUCUUCCACUAGUUAUAACUUAGGUUGUCUUUUAUU